UAGGGAAUCUUCCGCAAUGGGCGAAAGCCUGACGGAGCAACGCCGCGUGAGUGAUGAAGGUCUUCGGAUCGUAAAACUCUGAUAUUAGGGAAGAACAAAUGUGUAAGUAACUAUGCACGUCUUGACGGUACCUAAUCAGAAAGCCACGGCUAACUACGUGCCAGCAGCCGCGGUAAUACGUAGGUGGCAAGCGUUAUCCGGAAUUAUUGGGCGUAAAGCGCGCGUAGGCGGUUUUUUAAGUCUGAUGUGAAAGCCCACGGCUCAACCGUGGAGGGUCAUUGGAAACUGGAAAACUUGAGUGCAGAAGAGGAAAGUGGAAUUCCAUGUGUAGCGGUGAAAUGCGCAGAGAUAUGGAGGAACACCAGUGGCGAAGGCGACUUUCUGGUCUGUAACUGACGCUGAUGUGCGAAAGCGUGGGGAUCAAACAGG
rnacentral:rRNA from 1 species